rnacentral:rRNA from 1 species
UACGAAGGGGGCUAGCGUUGUUCGGAUUUACUGGGCGUAAAGCGCACGUAGGCGGAUCUUUAAGUCAGAGGUGAAAUCCCGGAGCUCAACUUCGGAACUGCCUUUGAUACUGGGGAUCUCGAGUCCGGGAGAGGUGAGUGGAACUGCGAGUGUAGAGGUGAAAUUCGUAGAUAUUCGCAAGAACACCAGUGGCGAAGGCGGCUCACUGGCCCGGAACUGACGCUGAGGUGCGAAAGCGUGGGGAGCAAACAGG